AACAGAAAGAGGAGGCGGUGAAGUUGAAUAUGGAGGAGUAGAAAAUGGAGGUAAAGAGAGUGAUGACAGAGAUGGAGGAGAAAAAAAGGAGGUGGAUCAGUUGAAGGAGGCAAUAGAGGAGAAAUAGGAGAAGAUGGAGAGUGUGAGCGAGUAAGAGAUAAACAACAGAAAUGUAAUUGGAGGAUGUGGAGAGAGUCCGAGAGGAUUUGGAAGAAGGGAUGAAACAGUUGAAAGAGAGAGAGGAAAUGUUUAAGAAGAAGGUGGAGUAGGUGAAGCUGGAGAAGAAGGAGAAGGUCAAGAUAGGAGGGUGAAAUGAGGAGACGAGAUAAGGCGAUUCCCAGAUGGGACAGCUACCAUCAUUUCAUCGUUGACCUCAUCAAAAGGGAGUAGGAUAAAGAGAGGAACACACACACCCAAAUUAUAAAUACAGGCAUGCAAAGACAAAUUGGUUAUUGGUCCAUGGCAUGUGAUGGAAUGGUGACUGACUAGAGAAAAUUGUUUAUUGGGCAUUUUAAUGACCUAUCCUACCUUUAUAAGUGUGACAUUGAUUUAUAAGUAUGUCCUACUUAUGAACAAUACAUUUACUAUUGUAAUCGUGCAGAUCUGACGACAUCGCUAUUGUCCUAUCCAUGACCAUGCACACCCGUGCCAAGUGCUUGCCACGGUUUCUGCAUUGAUUGACAAAUGUAACAGUCUGUUCACCAUGGCGGGUAUACGUACAGGAAGCCUACUUGUCAGAACCUGUAAUAGCCUAUUCUCUCAGUGUAUUUACCAAGUUCCUAACUAAAACAUAGAAUUUCUCGUGUUGCAAUGUCAUUAUACAUUUGUUCAAUUCGGCCUAUACCUUCUCUGACUGUGCCUAGAUAGUCAUUCAACCAGACAUAUGUGGUAUAUGACAUCAACUUGUGAAACUGUGCUGACUCAACUGGAAUACGAAAUCAGAGACUACCACCUAGUGGCAUUUGUUAGUAGUAGCAUCUCUUUUACAGUCGCACACAUCAAAUUACAAUCAAUUUACAAUCGCACAUAUCAAUGCAGAGAAAACAUUUAUUUGCAAAAAGAAUGCAUACAUUUCUUAAGCAGUACAUGAUCCUAAUAAUCUUCAGAAUCAUUAUAAUGGCAAAGGCAGUUUUGAAACAAAAUAUACAUAAUACGCAAUCUUCUGGAACACUGUAAUGCAUACAUCUUCAAAACAUUUAAAUUUAAAUACAUAAAAGCAAUUUAACAUUGAUUUUUAUUUUGUUUCAUGUAUAGUUUGUACUUCAAGUAAAGAGGUUACAUUGAAUAAGUGAGCUUGUUGUAUUUCACGCUUUUUUGCACGCAGAGCACUUGUGGAAGUAUGAGUGUAACGGUUCUCUUUAGUUGAAGGAGAGGCGGACCAAAAUGCGGCGUGAUGAUGAUUCAUGUUUGUUUAAUAAAGGAAAAACUAUACAUGAAUAAACUACAAAACAAUGAAAUGUG
ensembl:lncRNA